rnacentral:misc_RNA from 1 species
AUGGCGGAUCCAAAUAGCCAACUUACGUCAGCCACAACUGUUGCAACUGCCGCCAUUGCUCAACCACAGGUUAUGCUUCCAAAUGCAUAUGAUUAUCCUUAUAAUAUUGAUCCGACAACGAUUCAGAUGCCUGAUUAUUGGAGUGGAUACCAUCUCAACCCGUAUCCUCCGAUGCAAACAACGGAUAUUGAUUAUUCAUCAGCCUUCCUUCCAACACAUCCACCAACUGAAACCCCUGCUUCCGUAGCUGCUCCAACUUCUGCAACAUCUGAUAUUAAGCCAAUUCAUGCAACAUCAUCCACUUCAACGACGGCUCCAUCUACUGCUCCAGCUCCAACUUCAACUACUGAUGUGCUUGAGUUAAAGCCAACAACAGCUCCAGCCACGAAUUCUGCAGAAACAUCAGCGAUUGUUGCUCCACAGCCUCUUACUAAUCUUACCGCACCAAUUGACGCAAUGUCAUCAAUAAGAUAACAAAGCAAGUGAAGCUGUUAAUCCAUACAUCUCAAUCCCUCCAACAUAUACAUUUGGUGCUGAUCCAUCAGUUGCCGACUUCUCAUCGUAUCAGCAGCAACUUGCUGGACAGCCGAAUGGUCUUGGUGGAGAUACCAACUUGGUUGACUACAAUCAUCAAUUCCCACCAGCCGGUAUGAGCCCACACUUUGAUCCAAAUGGAUAUCCAGGAAUGACCGGAAUGCCACCAGGAUCAAGUGCAUCAUCUGUUCGAAAUGAUAAGUCUGCAUCAAGAGCAACGAGCCGUCGUCGGGUACAAGGCCCUCCAUCUUCUGGAAUUCCAACUCGCCAUUCAUCGUCUUCAAGGCUUUCUGAUAAUGAAUCAAUGAGUGAUGACAAAGAUACGGAUAGGAGAUCACAGAAUAAUGCUCGAGAAAGAGUACGAGUUCGUGACAUCAAUUCGGCAUUCAAAGAGCUCGGACGAAUGUGCACACAGCACAAUCAGAAUACAGAACGGAAUCAAACAAAAUUGGGAAUUCUACACAAUGCAGUAUCUGUGAUUACACAAUUGGAAGAACAGGUUCGUCAACGAAAUAUGAAUCCAAAAGUGAUGGCUGGAAUGAAAAGGAAACCUGAUGAUGAUAAAAUGAAGAUGCUUGAUGACAAUGCACCAUCCGCGCAGUUUGGACAUCCACGGUUUUAA